GACGAACGCUGGCGGCGUGCUUAACACAUGCAAGUCGAACGGAAAGGCCCUGCUUUUGUGGGGUGCUCGAGUGGCGAACGGGUGAGUAACACGUGAGUAACCUGCCCUUGACUUUGGGAUAACUUCAGGAAACUGGGGCUAAUACCGGAUAGGAGCUCCUGCUGCAUGGUGGGGGUUGGAAAGUUUCGGCGGUUGGGGAUGGACUCGCGGCUUAUCAGCUUGUUGGUGGGGUAGUGGCUUACCAAGGCUUUGACGGGUAGCCGGCCUGAGAGGGUGACCGGCCACAUUGGGACUGAGAUACGGCCCAGACUCCUACGGGAGGCAGCAGUGGGGAAUAUUGCACAAUGGGCGGAAGCCUGAUGCAGCAACGCCGCGUGCGGGAUGACGGCCUUCGGGUUGUAAACCGCUUUCGCCUGCGACGAAGCGUGAGUGACGGUAAUGGGUAAAGAAGCAUCGGCUAACUACGUG
rnacentral:rRNA from 1 species